rnacentral:rRNA from 1 species
UGGGGAAUAUUGGGCAAUGGGGGCAACCCUGACCCAGCGACGCCGCGUGGGUGAAGAAAUCCCUCGGGAUGUAAAGCCCUGUUGUAUGGGAAGAGCAGAAGACGGUACCAUAGGAGGAAGCCCCGGCAAACUACGUGCCAGCAGCCGCGGUAAUACGGAGGGGGCAAGCGUUGUCCGGAAUUACUGGGCGUAAAGCGCACGCAGGCGGAAUUAUAAGUCGGUAGUCAAAUACGGAGGCUCAACUUCCGUCGA